GCCAGGGUAACCAAGUGGUUAAGGUGCGGGCCUGGAGAGCCCGUGGUCCCUCGGGACCGCGUGGGUUCGAAUCCCACCCCUGGCGCCA
rnacentral:tRNA from 1 species